rnacentral:snRNA from 1 species
AUAUUUACCUGGUAGGGGAAAUACCAUAAUCACGAAGGUGGUUUUCCCAGGGCGAGACUUAUCCAUUGCACUACGGAUGUGCUGAUUCUGCGAUUUCCCCGAUUAUGGGAAACUCGACUGCGUUC